CUAAUACUCCCUCCGUCCCAUAUUAAGUGACUCAAAUUUGCCCAAGUAUUGAUGUAUCUAUGCCUAAAAAGCGUCUAGAUACAUGUAUCAGAAAGUCACUUAAUAUGGAACGGAGGGAGUAUUUU
rfam:Brachypodium distachyon strain Bd21 chromosome 1, whole genome shotgun sequence.